rnacentral:rRNA from 1 species
GACGGAGGGUGCUAGCGUUGUUCGGAAUGACUGGGCGUAAAGGGCGCGUAGGCGGCUCGUGAAGUCGGGUGUGAAAGCCCGGGGCUCAACCCCGGAACGGCAUCCGAUACUGGCGGGCUUGAGACCGGGAGAGGAGGGUGGAAUACCCAGUGUAGAGGUGAAAUUCGUAGAUAUUGGGUGGAACACCGGUGGCGAAAGCGGCGUGCUGGACCUUUUCUGACGCUGAGGCGCGAAAGCCAGGGGAGCAAACGGG